GAGGGUAUAGCUCAGUGGUCAAGUGCUUGCUUAGCAUGCACAGGGUCCUGGGUUCAAUCCCCAAUACCUCCA
rnacentral:tRNA from 1 species